GCUACUCAUUCUUAGAGAGAAAUCUUUGUAGUCUCUUCUCAUUCCCUCUCUCAUUGUCAGACCUAUUGAGAGGAGAUUUCUAUCCAAACACUGCCCACACCCAUUUAGAGUGUUGAGUGUUUUUGGAGUUUUGGGAAGCAUUGGAAGAUGCCAAGGAUGGCGGAUGCUAUGGUCAAGUAGCGGAAUCCGGUAAGCUAGAAAAGAAAAAGGUUCGGCGCAACCUCGUUGGAGCAAGAAGCUUGGAGGGCUUAGGUACAUCGGGUAGAUUAGGCCUGGAGGGUCUAUUGCUGUUCAUGUAUCCCAACUACAUUUUCUAGUGGAUUAUUGACCGCUCGGAGGGCGGCGGAGAGGUUUUA